GCUGACAAUUUAGCCCCCAAAAACUUUACCCACCUUAACCCCUUAAUCGAAGCAUCCUUACAAUUUAGUACAUGCGAUCAAAAAAUUUAUUGGAGCUAUAAAGCUAGUACCGCAAGGGAACAAUGAAAUAAAAAUGAAAUAAACACUAAAGCACAAAAAAGUAGAGAUUAAUACUCGUACCUUUUGCAUCAUGAUUUAACUAGUCCUAAUCGAGCAAAACGAAUUUUAGUUCGAUCCCCCGAAACUAAACGAGCUACUUCGAAGCAGCUUUAUGAGCAAACCCGUCUCUGUCGCAAAAGAGUGGGAAGACUUCCUAGUAGAGGUGACAUGCCAACCGAGUUUAGUGAUAGCUGGUUGCCUGAUAAAAGGAUAUUAGUCCAACCUGAAAUUAACUUAUGCUUGAACCAAAACCCUUAAUUUCAGAUUCACUCAAAUAAGGAACAGCUUAUUUGAAAAAGGAUACAGCCUAUACUAACGGGUAAUUAAACCCCAUGCGCAUUUAAGUAGGCCUAAAAGCAGCCACCUUUACUAAAAGCGUCAAAGCUUAAAUGCUUAACACUGAAUACCAAUAAAUUCUCAGAACCCUUUACCACCACCAGGCAAUUCUAUAAACCUAUAGAACUUAUUAUGUUAAAACUAGUAACAAGAAGUUAAACCUUCUCUUUAAUGCAAACGUAAAUCAGUAAGGAUGAACCACUGAUAGUUAACACAUCUGAAAAUUAAGCGGUCACACCCCAAGAAAAACCCCCUUAACACCAUGUUAACCUAACACUAGAGCAUUACAAGAAAGAUUAAAAGAAAAAGAAGGAACUCGGCAAACAUAAAUCUCGCCUGUUUACCAAAAACAUCGCCUCUUGAACAAAUAUAGGAGGUCCCGCCUGCCCAGUGAAUUAAUUUAACGGCCGCGGUAUCCUAACCGUGCAAAGGUAGCGUAAUCAUUUGUCCUUUAAAUGGGGACUAGUAUGAACGGCUCCACGAAGGUUUUACUGUCUCCUUUUUCUAAUCAGUGAAACUAAUCUUCCCGUGAAGAAGCGGGAAUAUUUACAUAAGACGAGAAGACCCUAUGAAGCUUUAAACAUAGCAAUAGAUAUUACUUAGCAAUAAUUUUAUGAACAAUCACACAAAGUAAUCCCUAUAAUUGCCAGUUUUCGGUUGGGGCGACCACGGAGCAAAAAAGAACCUCCGAGUAGAAUGGAAUUUAACCCUGAACAAAAAGCUUCGACUUUAUGUACCAAUAAAUUGACUUCUAUUGACCCAAUAUAUUGACCAACGAACCAAGUUACCCUAGGGAUAACAGCGCAAUCCACUUCAAGAGCCCCUAUCGACAAGUGGGCUUACGACCUCGAUGUUGGAUCAGGGUAUCCUGAUGGUGUAGCCGCUAUCAAUGGUUUGUUUGUUCAACAAUUAAAACCCU
rnacentral:rRNA from 1 species